rnacentral:rRNA from 1 species
AAAUGCACAGGCUGUGAACUCGAUGAGUAGGGCGGGACACGUGACAUCCUGUCUGAAUAUGGGGGGACCAUCCUCCAAGGCUAAAUACUCCUGACUGACCGAUAGUGAACCAGUACCGUGAGGGAAAGGCGAAAAGAACCCCGGCGAGGGGAGUGAAAUAGAACCUGAAACCGUGUACGUACAAGCAGUGGGAGCACCUUCGUGGUGUGACUGCGUACCUUUUGUAUAAUGGGUCAGCGACUUAUAUUUUGUAGCAAGGUUAACCGAAUAGGGGAGCCGUAGGGAAACCGAGUCUUAACUGGGCGUCUAGUUGCAAGGUAUAGACCCGAAACCCGGUGAUCUAGCCAUGGGCAGGUUGAAGGUUGGGUAACACUAACUGGAGGACCGAACCGACUAAUGUUGAAAAAUUAGCGGAUGACUUGUGGCUGGGGGUGAAAGGCCAAUCAAACCGGGAGAUAGCUGGUUCUCCCCGAAAGCUAUUUAGGUAGCGCCUCGUGAACUCAUCUUCGGGGGUAGAGCACUGUUUCGGCUAGGGGGCCAUCCCGGCUUACCAAACCGAUGCAAACUCCGAAUACCGAAGAAUGUUAUCACGGGAGACACACGGCGGGUGCUAACGUCCGUCGUGAAGAGGGAAACAACCCAGACCGCCAGCUAAGGUCCCAAAGUCAUGGUUAAGUGGGAAACGAUGUGGGAAGGCACAGACAGCCAGGAUGUUGGCUUAGAAGCAGCCAUCAUUUAAAGAAAGCGUAAUAGCUCACUGGUCGAGUCGGCCUGCGCGGAAGAUGUAACGGGGCUAAACCAUGCACCGAAGCUGCGGCAGCGACACUUAGGUGUUGUUGGGUAGGGGAGCGUUCUGUAAGCCGUUGAAGGUGACCUGUGAGGGUUGCUGGAGGUAUCAGAAGUGCGAAUGCUGACAUAAGUAACGAUAAUGCGGGUGAAAAACCCGCACGCCGGAAGACCAAGGGUUCCUGUCCAACGUUAAUCGGGGCAGGGUGAGUCGACCCCUAAGGCGAGGCUGAAAAGCGUAGUCGAUGGGAAACAGGUUAAUAUUCCUGUACUUGGUGUUACUGCGAAGGGGGGACGGAGAAGGCUAGGCUGGCCGGGCGACGGUUGUCCCGGUUUAAGCGUGUAGGGGGAGUGACCAGGUAAAUCCGGUUGCUUAUCAACCCUGAGGCGUGAUGACGAUGCACCACGGUGCAGAAGCAGUUGAUGCCAUGCUUCCAGGAAAAGCCUCUAAGCAUCAGGUAACAUUAAAUCGUACCCCAAACCGACACAGGUGGUCAGGUAGAGAAUACUCAGGCGCUUGAGAGAACUCGGGUGAAGGAACUAGGCAAAAUGGUGCCGUAACUUCGGGAGAAGGCACGCUGGCGUUAGGUGAAAGGACUAGCUCCUGGAGCUGAAGCCAGUCGCAGAUACCAGCUGGCUGCAACUGUUUAAUAAAAACACAGCACUGUGCAAACACGAAAGUGGACGUAUACGGUGUGACGCCUGCCCGGUGCUGGAAGGUUAAUUGAUGGGGUCAGCCGCAAGGCGAAGCUCUUGAUCGAAGCCCCAGUAAACGGCGGCCGUAACUAUAACGGUCCUAAGGUAGCGAAAUUCCUUGUCGGGUAAGUUCCGACCUGCACGAAUGGCGUAAUGAUGGCCAGGCUGUCUCCACCCGAGACUCAGUGAAAUUGAACUCGCUGUGAAGAUGCAGUGUACCCGCGGCAAGACGGAAAGACCCCGUGAACCUUUACUAUAGCUUGACACUGAACAUUGAGCCUUGAUGUGUAGGAUAGGUGGGAGGCCUUGAAGUGUGGACGCCAGUCUGCAUGGAGCCAACCUUGAAAUACCACCCUUUAAUGUUUGAUGUUCUAACUCGGCCCCAUGAUCUGGGGUGAGGACAGUGUCUGGUGGGUAGUUUGACUGGGGCGGUCUCCUCCCAAAGAGUAACGGAGGAGCACGAAGGUUAGCUAAUCACGGUCGGACAUCGUGAGGUUAGUGCAAAGGCAUAAGCUAGCUUGACUGCGAGAGUGACGGCUCGAGCAGG